rnacentral:rRNA from 1 species
UACGUAGGGGGCAAGCGUUGUCCGGAAUCAUUGGGCGUAAAGAGCGUGUAGGCGGUUCGAUAAGUCUGCUGUGAAAGUCCAAGGCUCAACCUUGGGAUGCCGGUGGAUACUGUCGAACUCGAGUCCGGAAGAGGAGUGUGGAAUUCCUGGUGUAGCGGUGAAAUGCGCAGAUAUCAGGAGGAACACCGAUGGCGAAGGCAGCCCCCUGGGAUGUGACUGACGCUCAUGUACGGAAAGCGUGGGGAGCGAACGG